GGAACAGGCGAUAUAUUUCUCUGAUCUCCCCCUUAAAUACGCCGUUAUAGGACCUCUCGUCGCGCAGUCCGAAUUUAAUUUCUCGUUCAAUCGAUGAUCGCGAUUUAGGUCUCAACAAGGCUCGGAGGAUGCGUACACGCAACCGCCGUCAAUGUUUAGUACGAUGGAAACUUAUAAAUAUAUUAUGGUCUCUCGAGUCGUGCGUAUAUACA